CCUCUCUCACCCCACAGAGAAGUGGAGUACCUUCCCUGGUAGUCAGAGAUAUUGCAUUACGGUGGGGUACUCAGGACUUAUUUCUACCGAACAACUCUCUCUAAAAAGGCCCUUGGCUGGUGAAAGGCAGGAAAAAAGCCUCAAGACUCAAGAUGGCAGUAAUAAUAUGAAGGACUAAUGUCUGCUGCAUACUUACAAUAAGCCAGGAGCUUCUAAACCUUUUCUUUCAUGUGUCAUCACCUUUAACGCUGGUGUCAACCCCAUGAGAUGAAAAAACUGAGGCUCAGAGAGAUGAGACAUCUUGCCUGUGAAUGGCAGAGCAGUGAUUAUGAAUGAACGAACGAACGAAUGAAUGAAUAAGGGAAAUGACGAUGUAACAGGGGCAGGGGACACAGGAGAAGGAAAAGCAAAUCUCCUUAGCAGCUCAUCUCGGGGACCUCAGGCAAGGGCGUGAUGGGAGAAGAGAAGGGAAGAGGCGCUUCCUGACCUACUCCAUCCUCAAUGGCUAGG